rnacentral:rRNA from 1 species
GAAUGGAUUAGUGGCGAACGGGUGAGUAACACGUGGGGAACCUGCCCAUGAGAAGGGGAUAACAUUCGGAAACGGAUGCUAAUACCGUAUAAGUCUAAGAACCGCCUGGUUCUCAGAUAAAAGAUGGCUCUGCUAUCACUCAUGGAUGGUCCCGCGGCGUAUUAGUUAGUUGGUGAGGUAACGGCUUACCAAGGCAACGAUACGUAGCCGACUUGAGAGGGUAAUCGGCCACACUGGGACUGAGACACGGCCCAGACUCCUACGGGAGGCAGCAGUAGGGAAUCUUCCACAAUGGGUGCAAACCUGAUGGAGCAAUGCCGCGUGAGUGAAGAAGGUCUUCGGAUCGUAAAGCUCUGUUAUUAACGAAGAACAAGGGAAGUAGUAACUGGCUUCCCCUUGACGGUAAUUAAUCAGAAAGUCACGGCUAACUACGUGCCAGCAGCCGCGGUAAUACGUAGGUGACAAGCGUUGUCCGGAUUUAUUGGGCGUAAAGCGAGCGCAGGCGGUCUUUUAAGUCUGAUGUGAAAGCCCACGGCUCAACCGUGGAGGUGCAUUGGAAACUGGAAGACUUGAAUACAGAAGAGGAAAGCGGAAUUCCAUGUGUAGCGGUGAAAUGCGUAGAUAUAUGGAGGAACACCAGUGGCGAAGGCGGCUUUCUGGUCCGUAAUUGACGCUGAGGUUCGAAAGCGUGGGGAGCGAACAGGAUUAGAUACCCUGGUAGUCCACGCCGUANACGAUGAGUGCUAAGUGUUAGAGGGUUUCCGCCCUUUAGUGCUGAAGUCAACGCAUUAAGCACUCCGCCUGGGGAUUACGACCGCAAGGU